rnacentral:rRNA from 1 species
GACUAACGCUGGCGGCAUGCAUCAUACAUGCAAGUCGAACGGAUUAGGUUGUAGCAAUACGAUCUAGUUAGUGGCGAACGGGUGAGUAACACGUAGGUAACCUGCCCUUGAGACCGGGAUAACAUGCCGAAAGGCGUGCUAAUACCGGAUGUCGACCACGGGCCCUCGGCAUGGGGGUUGGGGUAAAAGGAAUGGCAGCAAUGCUAUCGCUUGAGGAUGGGCCUGCGGGCUAUCAGCUAGUUGGUGGGGUAACGGCCUACCAAGGCUAUGACGGCUAGCCGGCUUGAGAGAGUGAACGGCCACACUGGAACUGAGACAC